rnacentral:rRNA from 1 species
GACGAACGCUGGCGGCGCGCUUAACACAUGCAAGUCGAACGGAAAGGCCUGCUUUCCCUUGUGGAUUGCGGGUACUCGAGUGGCGAACGGGUGAGUAACACGUGAGUGAUCUGCCCCCAACUUGGGUAUAAGCCUGGGAAACUGGGUCUAAUUCCCGAUAGGACUGCAGGGUGGUGCCUGUGGUGGAAAACGAUUUUCUAGUGGUUGGGGAUGAGCUCGCGGCCUAUCAGCUUGUUGGUGGGGUAAUGGCCUACGAAGGCGGCGACGGGUAGCCGGCCCGGGAGGGUGGACGGCCACAUUGGGACUGAGAUACGGCCCAUACUCCUACGGGAGGAAGCAGUGGGGAAUAAUGCACAAUGGGCGGAAGCCUGAUGCAGCGACGCCGCGUGGGGGAUGACGGCCUUCGGGUUGUAAACUCCUUUCGACCGCGAGGAAGCCACCUGGUUGGAAGGGUGGUGACGGUAGUGGUAGAAGAAGCACCGGCUAACUACGUG